rnacentral:tRNA from 3 species
GGAGGCGUAUCGGUGCUGGUGUGCCGCCUGGACUUCAAAUCCAGUGAUCGGGGCUAAAACCCUCGACGGUGGGUUCGACUCCCACACGCUUCCGCCA